rnacentral:misc_RNA from 1 species
CUGGCCAGCGCCGCCCGUGGCCGCCGGGACCUCCCCGCCGUCGUCCACAGCCUCCGCGGCCGUUGCCCGAGGCCGCAGCGGCCCGCCGCCGCGUUACCCGAGGACGCAGCCGUCCCCGAGCCCGAGGCCGUCGUCGAGUCUUGUCACGUGAGCGCGCGCACGUGGCCGUUCGCACGGGGCCGAACGCGGCCGCACGUGAGCGCGCGCACGCAGCUUCACACCGGUCGCCAGCCGUCACUCCUGUGGGCAAUUCAGCAAAUAGCACUAGGGCAACGUCCAGAUUUUUCAGCGAUGACUAUGCCACCUCCUCCACCUAUCCCGCAGUUUGUACCGACUCCACAAUUUAGUUGGCCCACACCUGCACCUCAGGUCCCUCCAGGAAACUUGCUAACUCCGGGAAAUGAGGACUCUGAAGAUGCGGUCGCUUCUUUUGUGGACGGUCUUCUAAACAGUGGAGGAGCUAGCGGAUCAAAUCAACCACAUCCAUUUGAUCAACCUCCUCCAUUUGAGUAG